rnacentral:rRNA from 1 species
AGAGUUUGAUCCUGGCUCAGAACGAACGCUGGCGGCAUGCCUAACACAUGCAAGUCGAACGGGGUCAUGGGGCUUGCUCCAUGACUUAGUGGCGCACGGGUGAGUAACGCGUGGGAACCUGCCCUCGAGUGGGGAAUAACGACGGGAAACUGUCGCUAAUACCGCAUACGUCCUUCGGGAGAAAGGCUUCGGCCGCUCAAGGAUGGUCCCGCGUCCGAUUAGCUAGUUGGUGAGGUAACGGCUCACCAAGGCGACGAUCGGUAGCUGGUCUGAGAGGAUGAUCAGCCACACUGGGACUGAGACACGGCCCAGACUCCUACGGGAGGCAGCAGUGGGGAAUAUUGGACAAUGGGGGAAACCCUGAUCCAGCAAUGCCGCGUGAGUGAAGAAGGCCUUAGGGUUGUAAAGCUCUUUCAGACGUGACGAUGAUGACGGUAGCGUCAGAAGAAGCCCCGGCUAACUUCGUGCCAGCAGCCGCGGUAAUACGAAGGGGGCUAGCGUUGUUCGGAAUUACUGGGCGUAAAGCGCACGUAGGCGGCGCGUCAAGUCAGAGGUGAAAGGCCUGGGCUCAACCCGGGAACUGCCUUUGAGACUGGCGUGCUAGAGUCCGGAAGAGGGUGGCGGAAUUCCCAGUGUAGAGGUGAAAUUCGUAGAUAUUGGGAAGAACACCGGUUGCGAAGGCGGCCACCUGGUCCGGUACUGACGCUGAGGUGCGAAAGCGUGGGAGCAAACAGGAUUAGAUACCCUGGUAGUCUACGCCGUAAACGAUGAGUGCUAGAUGUUGGGGGGUUCCCUCUCAG